rnacentral:rRNA from 1 species
UACGUAGGGCGCGAGCGUUGUCCGGAAUUAUUGGGCGUAAAGAGCUCGUAGGUGGUUUGCUACGUCUGCUGUGAAAACCUAGGGCUUAACCCUGGGCCUGCAGUGGAUACGGGCAGACUAGAGGUAGGUAGGGGAGAAUGGAAUUCCCGGUGUAGCGGUGAAAUGCGCAGAUAUCAGGAGGAACACCGGUGGCGAAGGCGGUUCUCUGGGCCUUACCUGACGCUGAGGAGCGAAAGCGUGGGGAGCGAACAGG